CAGGGAAUCUUGCGCAAUGGGCGAAAGCCUGACGCAGCAACGCCGCGUGGGGGAUGAAGGCCUUCGGGUUGUAAACCCCUUUCAGGAGGGAAGAAAUUGACGGUACCUCCAAAAGAAGGACCGGCCAACUACGUGCCAGCAGCCGCGGUAAUACGUAGGGUCCGAGCGUUAUCCGGAAUCAUUGGGCGUAAAGAGCUCGUAGGCGGUUCAGCAAGUCGGCUGUGAAAGUCUGAGGCUCAACCUCAGAAUAGCAGUCGAUACUGCUGUGACUUGAGUCCGGUAGAGGAGAAUGGAAUUCUCGGUGUAGCGGUGAAAUGCGCAGAUAUCGAGAGGAACACCAGUAGCGAAGGCGGUUCUCUGGGCCGGCACUGACGCUGAGGAGCGAAAGCGUGGGGAGCAAAC
rnacentral:rRNA from 1 species